UUAAUUGAAGAGUUUGAUCAUGGCUCAGAUUGAACGCUGGCGGCAGGCCUAACACAUGCAAGUCGAGCGGCAGCGGGGGAAAGCUUGCUUUCCUGCCGGCGAGCGGCGGACGGGUGAGUAAUGUCUGGGGAUCUGCCCGAGGGCGGGGGAUAACCACUGGAAACGGUGGCUAAUACCGCAUAAUCUCUGAGGAGCAAAGUGGGGGACCUUCGGGCCUCACGCC
rnacentral:rRNA from 1 species